AUGGCUCCCGCGGCGGCGCGCCUCCUCCUCCUCGUCCUCGCCGUCGCCUCCUCCCUCUCCGUGGGCGCGGACGCCCUCCGGUCUUUGGGCGUCGGCGACGGGGCCACCGCGCAGGGGGACUACGCCGUGGAGCUUGACGCCACCACCUUCGACGCCUUCCUCACGGCCUCCCGGGAGUCCUUCGCCGUCGUCGAGUUCUACGCCCACUGGUGUCCAGCUUGCAGAAACUACAAGCCCCAUUAUGAGAAGGUUGCGAAACUUUUCAACGGUCCAGAUGCUGCACAUCCUGGGAGAGUACUGAUGGCUAGGAUUGAUUGUGCAUCAAAGGUGAACAUAGAUCUUUGCAAUAGAUUUUCUGUUGACCGUUAUCCUUUACUACUUUGGGGGCGCCCACCAAAAUUUGCUAACAUUAAGUGGGACCGGAAGCAAGAGAAAAGCAAAAUAAAAUUGAUUGAUGAUGGAAGAACAGCAGAGCGUUUACUUAAGUGGAUAAAUAAGCAAAUGGAAAGCUUGUUCACUUUGGAUGACAAAAAAUAUGAGAAGGAAAAUGUGCUUCCAAACAAUGCUUCAGAUCUUAAACAGGUUGUUCAAGCAAUUUACAGUGUUGCGGAAGCAACAGCUCAUGCAUUACAGAUAUUUUUGGAGCACAAUGUUCUAGUUCAAUGA
rnacentral:rRNA from 1 species